rnacentral:lncRNA from 1 species
UUGAUAAAUUUGUUACUUCGAAAGUGAAAAUAAAAACCUUAGUAUCAUAAUAGCCUGUGACAUUGUUUAAAGAUUACAGCCCUUUUAUCAAAUCUGCAGUUCAUUGGAUACAAAUAGGUAGAAUAAAGCCUCCUUUUCACACACUUCAGUAAAUCUAUGAAUAGUUUAUAUUCAACUUAAUUAUAGAUCAAGCACUGCAUCAGUUAAUAAAAUAAACAAUAUUGUCUUUAACUUCAUAUGACUGUAGGUGUUUAUAUCAAAUGGAAUCACAUGUACGUUAUAAUUUCAGGUUUUGUGUAUUAAUGGUCUCAAUAUUAUAUGUUUGCUUUUAAAUCAAUGACAACUGAAAAUAUUACAUUUCAAAAUUUCCUAUUCUG